AAAAACGAAGUGGGAUUCCAAUUUGAACGCUAUUUUUGGGGCGUGUAAUUGACUUUAGCCAUGGCCAAUUAAGUAGGCAGACCAAAUUUUCAUAAUGCAGGAAAUCUAUGAUCAAUGCCAAACUAAGACACAAGUCGAAUAGUUAAAGUCUUAACAAGAUUACGAAAAUAGAAGCAAAGUAGAAAAAGACAGAUGAGAAGCAAUGAGUGAAACAAUGAGAAAAAACAUAAAAAAUAAGGAAAGUUUGAGAGAUGCAAAUUUAAAGCGCUGACUGAAACAAUAAGAAAAGUAAUGAUAGAAAUUAUGAGACAAACAAUAAAAUGUCUGAUAAAU